rnacentral:lncRNA from 1 species
GUCGAAGGAGAGUGGGACGACUGCAACCUGCUGCAGCUAAGUAUGCAAGGAUCGCGCCGACCGGCUUCCGAGUCGAGAUCCCACUAAGUCCCACCGCAGUCACCACAGCCAGCCCUGCCCAUGCCCGGGUAGUCCUGUUGGCAGCCUGCCCCUAUGCAGCUUUUGGCAAUACAGAACAGCUUCUUGGGGCUCCCACGUGAGAAGGCUGUAACAGACAGACAGCAGCCACGAUGAAACACGCUGAAAAGAGCCAGCAGAAAAAAACGAGGAGAGACUGGUAUGACGGAGUGGAAUUCCGGUUGUGGAUGACAGAAUGGAAAUUUUACGCAAGAUGAAAGAGUUAAGACAAAUUACUCUAAAAAUAUCUGACUUAGUUGUUUCUAAACCCUGGGGCACCCUUAGGAAAAAAUAAAAAUAAAAAAA